rnacentral:rRNA from 1 species
UACAGAGGGUGCGAGCGUUAAUCGGAAUUACUGGGCGUAAAGCGCGCGUAGGCGGCUUUGUAAGUCGGUUGUGAAAUCCCCGGGCUUAACCUGGGAACUGCAUUUGUGACUGCACGGCUAGAGUGUGUCAGAGGGGGGUAGAAUUCCACGUGUAGCAGUGAAAUGCGUAGAUAUGACAUAGAACACCAAUUGCGAAGGCAGCUUACUACCCGAAUAUUGACACUGAGGCACGAAAGCGUGGGGAUCAAACAGG